rnacentral:misc_RNA from 1 species
GAUGAAGAACGUAGCGAAAUGCGAUAAGUAAUGUGAAUUGCAGAAUUCAGUGAACCAUCGAAUCUUUGAACGCACCUUGCACCCUUUGGCAUUCCGAAGGGUAUGCUCGUUUGAGUGUCAUUGUACUCUCACACUCCCACUCUUUUGGAUUGGGAGCGGUGGACUUGGGUGUUGCUGCUUCACUGUGGCUCGCCUCAAAUGGAGUAGUGCAACUCUCGGUUGGACAUAGUACGGCGUGAUAAGUGUCUUCGCCGGCGCCUCACUAGAGGGUGGCCGAUCGGGAGCUCUGUGCUUCAAACCGUCUUCGGACAAUCUCUGACAACUUGACCUCAAAUCGAGUAGGACUACCCGCUGAACUUAAGCAUAUCAAUAAGCGGAGGA